ACUAAUGUAUCAGCAGAGUUUCCAGCAGAAAAGAAAUCAUUAGAUGAGUAUUUAUUUAAAAAGUGAUAGAUAAUAAAAGUUUGCCUGGGGUAAAAGCAAAUCACCACAAAUAGGGCAGGAAUGGGGGCCAACAGCAGUGAGAUGUUACCUCUCUUCAUGCCAAAGGACUGAGGAAUGGAGCCUGGAAAAAAUAAAGUCCCAGACUUACCUGGAAGCCAGAGUACACCAGGUCCUGUUCGUGUAGCGUCUGCCACCCAUCUGUGAGGCAGAGGGCAAAUGGAAACAGAAGGAGAAUGGCUCUGGAGGGUCACCUGCAGCAAAAUGCAGAAAAAACUGAUAGCAGGAAGAAAGAGCUGGAGGCCACAGACCACGAGAUUGGGAUGGUCACUGCCUGGAGGACUGCUCAAAGAGAUUGGCUGCAAAGGGUCAUAGCUGAGGUUUUCUUCUCCCAAAAGAGAGCAGAGGCUAGCAUAAGGAUUAAUUCUCUUAUUUUCAGAAAUAACCAGAGGUCUUUGAGUAUCUUUGAUCACAAGAAAGGACUGGACCAAAGUUAAGUUUUUUAAUUUGCACAAAUAAAAAAAUGAAACCUUAUUUUAUUUCCAAAUUUUUCUAAAACCAGACAUGGCUUAUUCAUACAUAGAAAUUCUGAAGGGUGUCCACCAAUAUGUUAAUAUUGGUUCUCUAUGGGUCAGGGGGGAUUAUAGGUUAUUUUAUUAUUUUCUUUAAUCUUUUUUCCCUGAUCUUUCAACAGUAGAUUCUUGUUAUUUUACUCUUUCACUCAUCUUUAUCAUUUUCCCCCAUGAUAUUUCAACAGAGAUUAUAUUUUAUUUUAAAAUUAAUACUUAAAAAAUACUCCAUUUUAAAGUAUUUUCUUAUGUAUUAAUGUUCCAAAAUCAUCCUAGGAGAGGACAAAUUUUUACUAUUUAUUUUCAGAUUACUUAUGAACAAAAAGUUGAAAGAAAGAAGGAUCAGUAAGCUAGCUCUCUUGUUUCUCCUGUAAACAUUUUCUUUUAUUUUAUUCCUUCAAGAAAAUAAAUUUUAAAAAAAAUUAAAGGAAUGUCCAUAUACAGACUAGGAAAUAAUGUUCUUAUGUAACCAAAUACAUCAUUAACAAAUGCAGAAGUUACCAUCGUUGCUAAAAGAAAUACGAGCUUUUUUUCUUGGAAAAAAAAAAGUAUAUUUAAGACAGUCUAGACAAAAGGUAUUAACAGACUUCUUGCCACGACAUUUUUAAAAAAACCUUUUUAGAUGUUCCCUUCAGGCACAGUGGGUUAAGGAAGGAUCCAGUGUUGUCCUACAGCAGCUUCAGUUGCUGCUGUGGUGAGGGUUUGAUCCCUGGCCUGGCACAUGCUGCAGGCAUGGUCAAAAAAAAAGCGACAACAAAAAAACUUAAAAUAGAAUUAAAAAGUUAUUUUUGUGUGCAUUGGUAAAAAUUGCUUUUUUUUAAAAAAAAAAUGUAAUCUAUUUACAUUUUCCCAACUUGUUCUUGUUCACAGCCCUCACAGUUUUGAAUUACUCUUAGAUUAUGAGUUAAUGAUGUGCCAAAUGUCUUUCCCAUGCUAAUACAGUCAUGUGUACAUAUCUCUGAGCCUGAGAACACAUCAGGUUCUAGAAGAAGUUGUCGUAGAGACCCUGCAGCACGGCCAGGUUAACCACACUGUCACACUCACGGAUACUGAGACACCAUCACUUUCCUUCCCGUGACUUUCUGUUUGUUUCAGUAGAGUUAUAUAUUUAGAAGGAAACUAUAUGUUUUUCUAAACAGAAAUUUGUGUUUGUUUAUUCUUUUUUUUUUUUUUUUUUUGUCUUUUUGCUAUUUCUUUGGGCCGCUCCUGCGGCAUAUGGAGGUUCCCAGGCUAGGGGUCGAAUCGGAGCUGUAGCCACCAGCCUACACCAGAGCCACAGCAACGUGGGAUCCGAGCCGCGUCUGCAACCUACACCACAGCUCACGGCAACGCCGGAUCGUUAACCCACUGAGCAAGGGCAGGGACUGAACCCGCAACCUCAUGGUUCCUAGUCGGAUUCGUUAACCACUGCGCCACGACGGGAACUCCAGUGUUUGUUUAUUCUGUUGACAUAGAGAACACUUAGAAAUUUUGAAUAAUUUC
rnacentral:lncRNA from 9 species